AUGGCCGACGGGAUUCUGGACGACCUCCUCCUCGACAUCUUCGCGCUCCUGCCGGACCCCGUCGACCUCCUCCACUGCGCCGGCACGUGCAGACGGUGGCUCCGGCUCCUCGGCAACGACCGGGCCAUCCUCCGACGAGCCGCCCUCCUGCCGGAGAACGAGGACGCGCGGCACGCCUCCUUCGUUCUCGGGGCUUUCUACCAGAACUUCUUUCCCCCUUGCCGUGAUGUGUGGAUCAAAUUGGACGUGGAGUUAAUUGCGGAUGGCAUGGAGGCGGAUGACCGCGUGAGCACGAUCUGCUUGUGCUUCUUCUUCGGUCCGACCGAGCGGACCGGUCUUUAACCGGACCGGACCGAAGAUUUUUCGGUCCAUAUUUCACAGACCGGACCGGGUGUUUUUUCGAGCGGGCCAGGACCGAGCUGGGCGGGACCGAGCGGGCCACGAGCGGGCCAAAAAGCCCGCUCGUGUCGUCCACCCUGAGGCUCCACCUCCAUCAUCCCCAACGCCGAUGGGCUCUUCAACCACGCCAAGCCCCUGGCGUCGCGCGGCGGGCUCCUCCUCGUGCGCCUCUUACCUGCCCCGCUCGACUUCGGGAAGCUCCACCUGGCGGUGUGCCACCCUCUCGUCGGCCACGUGCACGUCCUCCCGCCGCCGGCCGUGGACCUGGACCACGACCGCCUGGGGGGAGACGUUACGGGGUACGCGCUUCUCACCGGCGCAGAUCACCACGGGCACGGGCACGGACCGGCGACGGCUUUCCGUGUGCUCUUCACCGCCAAAAACCCAAGCGACGACCAGCUCGUGCCCGCCUACGCGUACUCCUCCGCCUCGUGCAGCUGGAGCGCGCCCAUCGAGUGCCCAGACGUCGGCGGCCUCACCAUGUCAGGGCCGCCCGACGGCGUCGUGGACGGCUGUGGCACCGUGCACUGGCUAUACACGGACCACGCAUGGUACUACACCCUCGACGUGAGUGCCGACGCGGCGCGUGUCUCCCUGACCAAGCUACCCAUACCAGUCAGCUCUGGUUGGGAAGGACCACCGUUCCUGUGCACCGCCGGACGAGGAAAAGCACUCUCGUUCGUCAACAGCAUAGACUAUGGCAGGAUGCUCGAGCUUUGGACCAAGCGGGAGCAAGACGACGACGACGAUCAUGGUGAAGAGAGCUCCGAAGGCUGGCUGCGCUGCAUGCUGACCACGCCCCAGGGCCAAGGGCCGGAGGCAUCGGAAUAUUUUGGGAUCCUCGGCUUCGCAGAGAGCAGAGGUGCGAUUCUCGUCCAUGGUGAUGUCGGCUUCUUAUGUCUUGACCUCGAGAGCACGGCGCUGGAGGAGAUCAGGGGAAGAGAGAGUAGCAACAGUGGCGUGGACUGGUAUCCGGGGGAGCUCAGCAUUAGGUUCUGGUGUACGUACAACCACCUUGUGUUUUAUGACAUGGACUGGUCAUCGUACAUUCUCCACCUCCUCUAUGGAAGCCUAGAAUGUACAACAAUGAGGUGA
rnacentral:rRNA from 1 species